CACAAGUGUAGGGCUAUAAAAUAUAUGAAUUUUAAUAAAUUAGCUAAAAAAAAAGGCCGCAAAGGGGUAUAUAAUGCCUUCCAAAUGCGAUUAGCUUCAGUUCAGUUUCAACUUUACCACCGAUAAGAUGUUGAUCCUCCGACUUGUUUUCGGCAUUCUCGCCUUGGCCGUUGCCGCUCAAGCCCGCGGUUGUGACAACAAUGGCGAAUUUUGCCGAACCCGUACCGAAUGCUGCUCACUGUUUUGUGAUACCAAGGUCAACAAAUGCCGUGACAAUUAACUUCUAACAUAAUUUUACAGAAAUGUCAAACAUUAAAUGUUUAUUAAUAAAAUAAAAACGAACAUUUAA